CUCACUCUACACACAGUGAGAUUCAGGUCGUUCGAAAAGAUGAUGCAAAAUCAAUUUUCACUACUGCAACAAGAUCAAGCGUAUCAGUCUGACACAGCACAUUAAAAAAACAGAAAAAUUAGGUGUCAGAAAUUGAUUUUGAAGAUCCAGAGAUCUAAUCUUCAACAACAAUCAAAUUAGAAGAUUCGGUGAAAGAAGAAGAUCUCGAAUUGUUGUUAUUGUUGCUGUGAAGCACUUCAACAUGAGUUGUCUCUGUUAUGGUGGUGUAAUCGGAGGAUUUGAGAAGUGGGAGAAGUGGUGGUGGUGGUAGUAGAAAAAAGAGGAGAGGAGGAGAAUUAGCUUCUCUUUCUGAAGAUGAAUCUAUGCUUGUUUCUACCAGCAGUGGCAAUGAAAUGAAUGAUUUUGAUGGCAAACUUCCAAAAGCUUCGGAAUCAAGAAAUGGUGGCUCAAAACCUGAAGGGGAGGAAAGUUCGGGGUUUGGUAAUAAGCCAGCUGAAAGUGCACAGUCACAGAAAUUCUAAGAUACUUCAACAAUUCUAAGAUGCCUAUACAAGAAGAUUUGAGAACCUUUCAUAGAUCAGAAUGUAAUGACUGCGUGCAGGAUUUGUUACCUUAAGGUUUCUUCCGACAGAAGUCCGCAUUUUGGUUUUUGGACUCAGGGCUGAUGACAAAGGAGCUAUCAAAUGUAAUGGAAGAGAAGCAGUCAGCAAUGUUGAGCCAAGUACAUAUGCAGGGGAGAUAAAUCGCAUGAUCGAUGAAGGAGGCACCAGUUACAACCUUGACCUGAACUUAGGAUGUCUACCCCUUCUUCUGCUGAUGGACGAUGUGGACGCAAUAUGACUGGGUACUCCCCUUUCGGCACACAUGAUGAUGGAUAACCCUGUUGCGGCAACUCUGGGUGUUCAAACGCCGAGUGGUCGAGUUAUGUCAUCCGAGCACCCUGCAUUCUGGAAUGGCAUACCUCCCAUUUUCUUUGAUAAUUAUGGGGAGGAACAACUGGUAGAAGGGUGGAUGUUGAUUUGCAUAGACUGGCGAGUCAGUCCUUGCAACUUCAUGGAUCAUUUGUGCCCACUGCCACAAUGCCUUUAUUCACUGCCGUCGCACCAUCAGGAUUCUCUUCUUCAGCUACAAUUUCUCUGAAUACCAACAGGAUCUGAAUUCUGAAGAGCUACUAAAAUCUAUCUGAUCCACCUGAGGAUGGAGUUGUUACCAUAUGCUGAUGAUAACUUUACGGAAGAAUUCGUUCAUAUCCUUCAUCGUCAUAGCACAGGAUUCUCAAGGGGUGUGUCAAAAUAUAGAGGAGUGGUGCUUCGCAAGUGUGGUAGAUGGGACGCUCGUCUGGGACAAUUUCUCGGCAAGAAGUGAAUAUAUCUUGGGCUAUCUGACGACGAAAUAGAAGCUGCAAGGUCUUGCAGAUCAUAAUUUUGUUAUCCCGUAUACAGAAUUUGUUACCUUAAGGUUUCUUCCAAUGGAAGUCUACAUUUUGGGUUUUGGACUCCAUGCUUAUGACAAAGCAGCUAUCAAAUGUAAUGAAAGAGAAGCAGUCACCAAUUUUGAGCCAAGUACAUAUGCAGGGGAGAUAAAUCCCAUGAUCGAUGAAGGAGGCAUCAAUUACAACCUUGACCUGAACUUAGGGAUGUCUACCCCUUCUUCUGCUGAUGGACGAUGUGGAAGCAAUAGGAUUGGAUGGAUAACCCUGUUGUGGCAACUCUGGGUGUUCAAACGCCGAAUGGUCGAGUUAUGUCAUCCGAGCACCCUGCAUUCUGGAAUGGCAUACCUCCCGAUUUCUUUGUAUUAUAUGAGGGAGGAACAAUUGGUAAAAUGGUGGUGUUGACUAGCCUAGACUAGCGAGUCAGUCGUUGCAACUUUAUGGAUCAUUUGUGCCCACUGCCUCAAUGCCUUUAUUCGCUGCCGCAGCAUCAUCAGGAUUCUCUUCUUCAGCUACAAUUCCUCCGAAUACCAACAGGAUCUGAAUUCUGAAGAGCUACUAAAAUCUAUCUGAUUCUAUACUCUGUACAUCUGGGUAACUCAGCUUAAACAAUCAGACAUCCCUUUCUUUACUCUAGAUAUCUCUUAGACCCUCAAAAUCAUAUAAUGUUGCACUUAAAGUAAGUGGUUAUGAGCAUCUAAUUGUAUAACCGCGAAAUUCCUCAAAAGGUUGGAUUACAGAUAAGCAGCUUAGUCCCGAGGGAGAGAGUGUGCUGCUGUGUGUGCUUGUCUAUUCCAGGUGGUUGUUAUCACUUAUCAGAAACAAUUGUGUAUAUAUAGUAAUAGAAUAUACCAAGCCUGAUAUAUCUCAUUUGUAAUAGAGACUGUUGAUUACAAGAUCAAAACUUAUGAAUUCUGAAUCUAUUAAUGAGUGCCGUAUCGUAUGAGUUCAAUUUGUA